GAUGAACGCUGGCGGCGUGCCUAAUACAUGCAAGUCGAGCGAACAGACGAGGAGCUUGCUCCUCUGACGUUAGCGGCGGACGGGUUAGUAACACGUGGAUAACCUACCUAUAAGACUGGGAUAACUUCGGGAAACCGGAGCUAAUACCGGAUAAUAUAUUGAACCGCAUGGUUCAAUAGUGAAAGACGGUUUUGCUGUCACUUAUAGAUGGAUCCGCGCCGCAUUAGCUAGUUGGUAAGGUAACGGCUUACCAAGGCAACGAUGCGUAGCCGACCUGAGAGGGUGAUCGGCCAAACUGGAACUGAGACACGGUCCAGACUCCUACGGGAGGCAGAAGUAGGGAAUCUUCAGCAAUGGGCGAAAGCUUGACGGAGCAACGCCGCGUGAGUGAUGAAGGUCUUCGGAUCGUAAAACUCUGUUAUUAGGGAAGAACAAAUGUGGAAGUAACUGUGCACGUCUUGACGGUACCUAAUCAGAAAGCCACGGCUAACUACGUG
rnacentral:rRNA from 1 species